AACGAACGCUGGCGGCAUGCCUAACACAUGCAAGUCGAACGAUGCCUUCGGGCAUAGUGGCGCACGGGUGCGUAACGCGUGGGAAUCUGCCUUUCGGUUCGGAAUAACUCAGGGAAACUUGAGCUAAUACCGGAUAACGUCGCAAGACCAAAGAUUUAUCACCGAAAGAUGAGCCCGCGUAGGAUUAGCUAGUUGGUGAGGUAAAGGCUCACCAAGGCGACGAUCCUUAGCUGGUCUGAGAGGAUGAUCAGCCACACUGGGACUGAGACACGGCCCAGACUCCUACGGGAGGCAGCAGUGGGGAAUAUUGGACAAUGGGCGAAAGCCUGAUCCAGCAAUGCCGCGUGAGCGAUGAAGGCCUUAGGGUUGUAAAGCUCUUUUAACCGGGAAGAUAAUGACGGUACCGGGAGAAUAAGCCCCGGCUAACUCCGUG
rnacentral:rRNA from 1 species